UACGUAGGGUGCGAGCGUUAAUCGGAAUUACUGGGCGUAAAGCGUGCGUAGGCGGUCCGCGAAGUCUGAUGUGAAAGCCCCGGGCUCGACCUGGGAACUGCAUUGGAAACUAACGGGCUCGAGUGUGGCAGAGGGGGGUGGAAUUCCACGUGUAGCAGUGAAAUGCGUAGAGAUGUGGAGGAACACCGAUGGCGAAGGCAGCCCCCUGGGCUAACACUGACGCUCAGGCACGAAAGCGUGGGGAGCAAACAGG
rnacentral:rRNA from 1 species